UCUGAGGCAACAAAAAGCACACUGUGACAUCACAGGAAGUUAUAUAAACAGCUUCACAUCCCUUUUAGAGCAAGAGAAGGUAAAGCCACACCCACAACACUGCUCUCCCCCAGGACUACCUUAGCCAAGUAUUGUGAAUGAGAGCUUCUGAAUCUGAGCUUUGUUUCCAGGCUCCAAGGAGAUCACCAAGAACUCCGUACCUGGAAGAGCCCUUCUUCUAACAGGAAAGGAAAUGCAUUUUCUUCCUGCAACAUCCACUCCGAUUCCUCAGGAAGGUGAAGAACAGCAUGUUAUAUGACACCACUUAACUGAAAAGGAGACCAAAAGAAUACGCAGAUGCAUUCCUUUGCAGAUGCAUUAAAUCUCUUUAGAAGGACAAACUGAAAACUCUUAACACAGGCUGUCCACAGGGAAAAAAAGUCAUGAUGCUGGGAGGACAGAGGUGGAAGGCAGACUUUUCAUCACAUCUUCUACUGCACCUUAAGGAUUCCAAAUUAUGCAAAUAGGUUAUCUAUUAAAAAAACACAAUUUCAAUAUUUAAAUAAGCAAGUAAGGAGGAAAAAUGUUUAGAAGUCACUCUAAAGAAGAACCUUAUUGUUCUUUAAAACCCUACUGGAGAAGCCAGGCUGGUCUUCAUAAGGAAUUCCUCUCCUAAGUUGGUUGUUUGCUUGUUUGCUUGUUUGUUCGUUGUGCUGAGGAAGAUUCAUCAUGAUCUAACAUCUGCUGCCAAUCUUCGUCCUCUUUUUUGCUGAGGUAGAUUUAGGCUGAGCUAAUAUCUAUGCUGAGGUAGAUUUAGGCUGAGCUAAUAUCUAUGGCCAAUCUUCUACUCUUUUGUAGGUGAGCCGCCGCCACAGCAUGGCCACCAGUGAGCGGUGCAGGUCUGCACCCAGGAACUGAACUCAGGUCACCAAAGCAGAGCACACCAAACUUAACCACUAGGCCACUGGGGCUCACUCCCUCACACAGGUUUUAAACGAUGAGGUUUUGAGUAUUCACAAUGGAGGCUGGAGGUUAGGAGAAGAUCUGCAAAUACACUAGUUCUCAACCUACUCCCCACUAAUGAUCCCCUAUUUUCUCCCAGGAACCCCAUGUUUAACAAGAUUUUCCCCACCAAAUAAACAGCAUUAUUACUAUUAUAUACACUUGCCCAUUAGUAUCCAUGAGUGACUGACAUAAUUUCAGACAGAGCUUUGAUCUGCAUCAAAUAACUGGUUUUUUAUAAUGAGAUGAUGUGAUUCUAGGCAAAAUCAAAGAAACUGGAAAAUGAUGUUAGCCUAUACAGCCCUAUAAGCUGAAAACGCAGAAUACUUCAAAAUACUGAAAAGUGACUCACAUCCCCCAUUACCACCUGCACAGACCCCUAAGGGCCUGGCAAGCAGUAAAGACAUAACAUUGAAAGGGAAUCUGGCUCUAGGUCCAACUACUAAUUGACAGGAAAUACAGACGACAGAGGAUCAUGUCAAAUGGCACAACACGGAUGCAUUCAACAAACUCCAGACUGGAAAACUGUAUAGAAUAAACAAUGUGAUUUCAUCAAUAAAUAAAUUUCAAGGAGGAAACAUUGAAAGAGACUUAAAAGACUUUUAAAAGUCUUAUCAACCAAUUGCAAUGUCUGCACAUUAUCUGGAUCUUGAUUGAAGAAAACGUUUUAAAUAAAAUAAAAAUCUUAGGACAUUUAUGAGACAACCGGCAAUGUGAACACUGACUGGAUAUUUGAUAUGAAGGGACUAUACUCUUAAUUUUUAGGUGCAAUAAUGAUGUUGCAUUUAUCUUCUUUUUUUUGAGGCCAUAUUUUUUAAGAUACACACUGAAAUAUUUAUGAACAAAAAUCAAUGACGUUAGUAUUUGCUCCAAAUUUAUCAGGGGGAAGGUGGGGAAAUGGAUAAAACAAGCCUGGCCUGAGCUGAUGAUGGCUGAAGCUGGUGACGGUCCGUGGGAUGCAUUAUCGUAUUCUGUCCAAGUCUGUAUAUGCCUACAACUGUUCCUAAUGAAACGGAUAAAGAAACAUAAUGUGGCAUCUCACAGCCCAGAGAGAGUUCAAUACUAAGGAUAAACGAAUUCUGAUAUAAAACGAAGUGAAAAAAGGCAGAAAAUAAAACAUAUGCUAUGAUCAGAAUUACAUAAAAAACAUAUUUGCAAAUGAAUGAGGGAACAAGAGAAAAAUGAAAAGAAAGGUUUGUCUAGUAUAUAUUUCUGGGUAAUUUCCCCUUUAUUUUAAAAAACGUUUCUUAUUGUACUUAUAAUAUGGAUGGACUAAUGUCCAUUUUUUGAAAAGCCAUCAUAAAUCACUUCUAGCAUUACUGCAAUCCAAUUUCAAAUAUCUGGAAUACAUCUAUCUAAGAUAGAAUAUCUCUAUCUUAAGGAUUUCACUGAAUUUUCCCCAGAACACAUUCUAGGCUCUGCAGAGUGUUUCAGGCUAUCUCCAAGCUAGGAAAGAAUGGUCGUCUCUCUGGGGCCAAAAGACAACAUCUUUCUUAUCACGAAACGCCCUUUUGUCUAAAGGUUCACAGUUAUCACCAAACAGGCUGAAAAAUAAUCUAGUCCAGAGAGUUUCAAGCAACGCGCCCUUACAGCCUCCUUCUGUGUUGUUGUUCUGGUUUGGUUUAUGUCAUCAGAUUCCUGAAAGUCAGAGAGAGCUUUCUCAGCCCAAUCACAGCAGAGAAAGCCAAGGGGAGAGCACACACUUCUCUCUUUCUGGCUCCUGUGAAAUCUAAGCUGAGAACCUUUGAGUCCCAUUCCCCAAACUUUCGUCACAUCCUUGGUUUUAGAGGACAGCAGCAUGAAUCCAUAGCCACAGGCGGCAGAGGAAAUCUGAAAAAGAGUUCCCAGAAAGUAUCAUACUGCUUGGCGACGUCAAGUGUUUCCAGCAAGAAACGGCAGCUUGUUGACCCAUUCCAAGAGCAGACACUAUUAACACAGCAACUAACACCACAGAAUGUUUACUAUGUGCUAAGUGUCUGAGAGGCACUAUCUCAUUUCACCUGCACAUUCACCCAGUGAUCUAAGUGUCAUAUCCUCCCCACUCAGCAAGACACAGGCUCACAGAGCAGUUCAGCUGAAGACCCCCCUAGUUUGAAUCUUGACAACACCAUGGGACCUACAGCUGUUAGACCCUUACCAGCUGUGUGACCUAGGUAGACUGCUUAACCUCUCUGUGUCUGUUUCCCUGUAUGUGAAAUGGAGAUGACAGCAGCAUCUCUCUUAUUGGGUUGUUCCGAGAACUAAAUGAGUCAAGAGAGCUAAAGCCCCUGGGGUAAAUAGUACGUGACGUAACAUAAGAGUGACGGGAUGUACUCAAUAUUAUCACUGGUGGUGAUAAUAAACAAAAGCCAACAAAAUUGGAAAUGAACAUGUAAAACUGUCUUUAUUCACAGACAACCAGAGAGCAUGAUCCUAUAUGUAGAAAUUCCUAAGGAAUACACAAAAAUCUACAGAAAUAAACAAGUUCAGCAAAGUCACAAGAGAAAAGGUGAAUACAAACACCAACUGUAUUUCUACAAACUAAGAAUGAACACUCCAACAGUUAAAUUAAAAAUACAAUUUAUUCAAAAUACCUCAAAAAGAAUAAAAUGCUUAGGAAUAAAUUUAACAAUACAAAUCUAAGAGUUGUAUACUGAAAAUUACAAAACACAGUUGAGAAAAAUUAAACACUACUUGAAUGGGGAGAUUUUCCAUGUUCAUAGACUGAAAGACUCACAAUUGUUUAGAUGGCAUUUGUGCCAAAAUGCAUCUACAGAUUCAACACAAUCUCUAUUAAAAUCCGGAAAGAAUUUUUGCAGAAAGUGACAAGCUAAUCCUAAAAUUUGUAUGGAAAAGCAAGACUCAGAAUAGUGAAAACAAUUUCCAAAAACAAGGACCAGCUGGAGGACUUCUAUUUCCCAAAUUCAAAACUUCUGAUAAAGCUACAGUAAUCAAGAGAGUGUAAUCUUAGCAUAAGGACAAACAUAUCGAUCAACGCAACAGAACUGAGCGGUCUCAAAUCAAUCCUUAGUUUUACAGCCAACUGAUUCCAACAAACGCACUAAGACAAUUCAACAAGGAAAGGAUAGUCUUUCAACUAAUGAUCCUAGGACAACCGGCUAUCCACAGGAAAAAGGGCCAUAACACACCAUACACAAAAAUCAACUCAAGUGGCUGGCUCAUAGACCUAAACACAAGACCUAAAACUAUGAAGCUCCUAGAAGAAAACAUGGGAAGAAUAUGUUUGCGAUGUCGGGUUAGGCAAAGAUUUCUUAGAUAUACCGAAAGCACAAUCCAGGGCAGAAAAGCCAUCAAUUGAAUUCCAUUAAAAUUAAAAAAUUUUGCUCUUCAAAGGACACUCUCAAGAAAAUACAAAGAAAAGCAGUAGAUUGGCAGAAAAUACUUGCACAUAUCCUACAUGUCAUAAAGUACCUGCAUCCAUCUGGAACACAUAAAUCACCGUUACAACUCCCUAUUAAGAAGGAAACAACUCAACUUUUCAUUCAUUUGGAGCUUGAACUCCUGUUUCUCUUGCUCUCGCCCCUUUUCAGUUAAAGAUCACUCCUCACCCUUGGCAGAGAAGGCGGAAACCAAACUGGGCCGAUCCGCUCCUUCUUCAUCGGCCACCAAGGCUUCCAGAACCGGCGCCAAGGAGAACCCGUCCUGACACAUUUUCGCUCUUCCGAGCGUCGGCUCCCAGAUGAGCCGCCCCGGGGAGCCGCCCUCUGCUGCCGUCUUCUCAAACCUGAGGCAACGCAGAGGCCUGCAGUGCAGCCAUUCGAGUGCGUUCGGACCUUCGCUCCUUCCUCUCUCACCCCUGCACCCGCUCGGGCGACACGUCCUUUCCCAGCUGCUCAGCGACUCCAGCCGGCCCACGGCUUCCCUGACCUUUGGCAGCCGCCCUUCCGAACAGCAGAACUUCAGGAGUCAGACGGCCCGAGUGCGGAGCCCACUGUGCGUCCGCCUGCCAGCUGUGGGGCCGGGGCCUGUCCCUUGACGUCUCUGAGCCUCCCUCUCCUCCCUCAACUGUGGUGACAACCCCGACCCCCGGGGGAGGAGCAGAUGCCCAGCCGCUCCAUCACUGUGGGCAGCGCGCCAACCGCCUUCCCUUCCGGGGCCUUCAGCCGCCGGAGAGGCGUCUGCCCGGAAGCUGACCCCGUGCCUCGCAGCUUCUCCAAGAGACCGAGGACCCGGGGAGCAGCGGCGGAGGCGAGGGCGGACGGAGGGAGGAAGGCGCCGCCCGGAUCUUCGGCUCCGGCUCCAUUCGGGAGGGCACUGGAGGGGGCCUGCGGCGCGGCCGCGAGCCGGCGGGGCUCGGCCCGGAGCUGGGCCGCACGAAGGGGGCCCGUCCGGUGCCAGAGAGGCUGAAGUCGCAGGAACAUGCGCUCGGCGCGGGCCGCGCGCGCCCACCUACCGGACCACGGGCGCGGCCGCCUCCCGCGGGCUCCGCGAGCGCCCGGCCGCCGUCCAUGGCCCCCGCCUCGGGCCCGAAGCUCAGCCGGCGCCCCAGACGAGGCCCCGCCGCCCGCUCCAUUCCCCUCCUCACGCCUCAGCUGCUGCUGGGCGCCGCCAUCAUAGAGGGUGAUCGCGGACUACGGACUGAUGAGACGAGGUAUCUAGGGGACUGUCGUCCAAGGCCGCCAACUCCAGGGAAUGUCAGGAAACAAAGGUGUGAGAUCAGUGUCUGCUGGGCCGGGAACCCUACCCUCUGUUUGCACGGAGCUCCUGCUUCCCUUGGACUGCUCCCAGUGACUGAGUGAGACACGGACGCACACUUGGGCAGACCUGUUCCUGGGAGGCAUGGACUCUUCUUUUGGUCUCCUUUGGCUCCCGGACUCCCUGGUGGCCUUACCGAGCCUUCCUUAGACUCUGCAGCCAUGCAGGUCCCCUUUACCCAGCCUUCCCUCUAUCUCUCCCUCAUUUAGAGUCUGACUGGCCUUGUGGCCUGAUGGCUCUCCCACAUUCCCAGGCUCCUCCACCCCGUUUUCUCUUACAGAGGCAUUUCCCCACACAAAACCCUUGCACGUUUAAGCCUGUCUUGCUGUCUACCUCUCAGAGGACACUUGAGCCAAGGCACGAAGCCAUGAAAGAGUGAGCCAUGUAGACAUCCUGGGUAGAGGUUCUGGGCAGAGGCUACAGCAAGUACAAAGGCCCAGAGGUGAGACUGCUUGGGUGUGUGUGCUGCAAAGAACCCAAGCAGUUUCAGCUAACCCCUAAUAGUCCUGCUCAACAUUUCAGUUGUUUUUCUUAGAUGACAAUAGGUACCAAAACUUUGCCUUGAUAAUGGUUAGCUAAGCACCCACAACCUAUUAUCAGAUUAUAAUGAAAGCAAGUCUGACGCCCGAUUUUGUCACACAAAUGGACAUUUACUUAAAUAAAUUCAGUAGGAACCUGGGAACAAAGCAACUCAUAAAACCUAUUCUGUAGCUCAGUAAAGCCUAUCUCUGUCCUUUUGGAUGAACCUACCAGCCCCAUGGUGGACAGAUUUUCUCAUGACAAAUAGAACAUUCCGGAAAUAGAAUUUUUGUGUCCUUUUUAACUUCAGUUGGCAUUAGGCUUGAUAGAACUGCUUGGGGAUCAAAUAUCAGGUACUAUGUCUAAGAGUAAAGGUCAAACCUGAUUCUCAUGCCCUGUUCAUGCAAGGGAGAGAAUAACUCCAAAAUCUGCUUUCCAAGUCUUGACGACCACUAAUUUCACAAAGGCAAGCCCGAUUCUCCCUUCUUCCAAUGCCAAUCAUGUCAGGUAUCAGUGUCUUGCCUCUCAGCUCCAAAUCUACUCUUCAUGGCCUGCUUUGGGAGAAUGCAGCUGGGCCCUUUAUGUGUUUUUCUUGGAAAGACAGAGCCAGAGAAAGAGGACUUCCUUCCUGGUUGCGGGUGCACGAAUGGCUUCUCCAGCACCAGACUCCUGCCCUAGUGCUCGCCCACAGCACAGAGCCGCCAACAGCUUCCUCCAGCAGCCCCCUCAGGCAAGGCCCUAGCUGAACGCCUCCCAUAAGGUCCCUCCCCUCGAACGCCUUUCUCGGCCCCAAAAGGGUGGAUUUCCAUAAAGUUCCAGAGUGCACCUUUCCUGUGAAUUUGUGGAUUUUUAUAUUAAACUUUCUCUGUUCA
rnacentral:lncRNA from 1 species